UACGUAGGUGGCAAGCGUUGUCCGGAAUCACUGGGCGUAAAGCGUGCGCAGGCGGUUCGUUGUGUCUGUGGUGAAAGCCCCGGGCUUAACCUGGGAAUGGCCAUGGAAACUGGCGAGCUGGAGUGUGGCAGAGGGGGGUGGAAUUCCGCGUGUAGCAGUGAAAUGCGUAGAGAUGCGGAGGAACACCGAUGGCGAAGGCAGCCCCCUGGGUUGACACUGACGCUCAGGCACGAAAGCGUGGGGAGCAAACAGG
rnacentral:rRNA from 1 species